rnacentral:rRNA from 1 species
GAAUGAACGCUAGCUACAGGCUUAACACAUGCAAGUCGAGGGGCAGCAUGGUCUUAGCUUGCUAAGGCCGAUGGCGACCGGCGCACGGGUGAGUAACACGUAUCCAACCUGCCGUCUACUCUUGGACAGCCUUCUGAAAGGAAGAUUAAUACAAGAUGGCAUCAUGAGUCCGCAUGUUCACAUGAUUAAAGGUAUUCCGGUAGACGAUGGGGAUGCGUUCCAUUAGAUAGUAGGCGGGGUAACGGCCCACCUAGUCUUCGAUGGAUAGGGGUUCUGAGAGGAAGGUCCCCCACAUUGGAACUGAGACACGGUCCAAACUCCUACGGGAGGCAGCAGUGAGGAAUAUUGGUCAAUGGGCGAGAGCCUGAACCAGCCAAGUAGCGUGAAGGAUGACUGCCCUAUGGGUUGUAAACUUCUUUUAUAAAGGAAUAAAGUCGGGUAUGGAUACCCGUUUGCAUGUACUUUAUGAAUAAGGAUCGGCUAACUCCGUGCCAGCAGCCGCGGUAAUACGGAGGAUCCGAGCGUUAUCCGGAUUUAUUGGGUUUAAAGGGAGCGUAGAUGGAUGUUUAAGUCAGUUGUGAAAGUUUGCGGCUCAACCGUAAAAUUGCAGUUGAUACUGGAUAUCUUGAGUGCAGUUGAGGCAGGCGGAAUUCGUGGUGUAGCGGUGAAAUGCUUAGAUAUCACGAAGAACUCCGAUUGCGAAGGCAGCCUGCUAAGCUGCAACUGACAUUGAGGCUCGAAAGUGUGGGUAUCAAACAGGAUUAGAUACCCUGGUAGUCCACACGGUAAACGAUGAAUACUCGCUGUUUGCGAUAUACUGCAAGCGGCCAAGCGAAAGCGUUAAGUAUUCCACCUGGGGAGUACGCCGGCAACGGUGAAACUCAAAGGAAUUGACGGGGGCCCGCACAAGCGGAGGAACAUGUGGUUUAAUUCGAUGAUACGCGAGGAACCUUACCCGGGCUUAAAUUGCAGAUGAAUUACGGUGAAAGCCGUAAGCCGCAAGGCAUCUGUGAAGGUGCUGCAUGGUUGUCGUCAGCUCGUGCCGUGAGGUGUCGGCUUAAGUGCCAUAACGAGCGCAACCCUUGUUGUCAGUUACUAACAGGUUCCGCUGAGGACUCUGACAAGACUGCCAUCGUAAGAUGUGAGGAAGGUGGGGAUGACGUCAAAUCAGCACGGCCCUUACGUCCGGGGCCACACACGUGUUACAAUGGGGGGUACAGAGGGCCGCUACCACGCGAGUGGAUGCCAAUCCCCAAAACCUCUCUCAGUUCGGACUGGAGUCUGCAACCCGACUCCACGAAGCUGGAUUCGCUAGUAAUCGCGCAUCAGCCACGGCGCGGUGAAUACGUUCCCGGGCCU